CUUUUAGACUGCUGGAUUAGACUCAGUUGUUUCCUAGCAGCUGAAAGAGGCCUUCAGCAACAGAUCCUUCAUUUCAAACAGAUAAGAAAUGGCUGCCCCAGAAACACUAUCCCAGCAGAAACAUUUUAAAAAAGGAAAAACUUCAUCCUGGAGGCAAACCAAGGAGGUAAGGCCCGAUUCCUGCCAAGCAGAAUUCCAACUCUCCUAGCAGAGCACAGACAUUUCAUCCCCUCCGCCCCCCUGCUUUGCCCACAGCUGCACCGUGCCCCAGCAAUAAACGCUACCCUUCUGGGGCCCUUCUGGCACGCCGCUACAAACUCCCUUCUCGGUGAAUUCAUCAGGCUCGCUUUUCCAUUCAGCAAUAGCAGGAAGGUGGAAAGUCCUUGCCGAAGAGCCUCAGACACAAAAGGAUAAAGUGCAGAGACUACAGAUGAGGGCAGUUACAGCAUAUACAGCAGUCUGGCCUGAAUCACCUUGUACACCAGUCAGCCAAACAGAGAUACCACUGAUUUACACCGAAGAGAAUCGCAGCUUGGGAUGCUGGUUCUCACUUGCAAGGAGUUGUUCCAGUCUGAAGGCCUAUGGGAACUUUGGAUGCCAGCACUGCUCAGCUUUGUACAGGGGCUUGGCUAUGCACAGCUGCAGAGUUUCAUUCAGUGAUGCAAUGCCCACCUCAGUGCUACAAAGAGAACACGGAAAGAUGGAAGAGGCAGAAAAGCACAAUUGCUUCCCAGCCACAUCUACGCCACUCACCAGUGGGUGCUGAGCAUCUCGCUCCCGCAGGGGCACACUGCCACCCUGUGGAAAUGGUCCUUGCUCUCCCAGACAACUUCAGAAGGGCUGUGGGGAGUCAGCCUGCAGCCUCCUCACAUCAGCUGUCCUGCUAAUGCACCAGCGAGCCAAACGCGCUUCAGCACUGUGCUGAAGCAGGGCUCCGUGAAUUAAAUUUAUUGACAGUAAUGCAAAUUUAAUUUCUGCUAAAUCUUGGUAAUCACAUAUCUAGUGUCAGGCUGGCUGCUGCGGGCACAGUAAUGUAGCUAUUGAAACACACAUUUACUGCCACUCGCUCGACUUCCCUCCACUAGCGAAUUAAAACAAUGAGCAGCAGAAUGUCUGCAAACCUUCAGACAAGCCAUAUGAAAGACCAGUAUUGGUUUCCACCUCUGUCCCCAGAGCAUUAGGGCAGCACGCAGAAAAGGGCAGCAUGCCUCAAACGAAGCAGGACACUGGCACCAGGUUUCUUGCAAAACAUCCCAAGUCCCAGUCCCUGGCUUUCCGUGGGCUGGCAAAGAGCCAGGCAGUCUUAGCACUAGACUGAAGGUCAGCAAUAAACACCAAGAUUCAGCCCCGACUGUGUACUUCUGUCAGCAUGAAAAUAAACAGCAGGUGAGCACCAGUGGAAACCUCUCCUCAGUACACUCAGAAGGUUAUUUAAACACAGCCUGGAGACCUAUUUAUUCAAUAAGGGCUGCAAUUAGCCUGCAAAUUAAUCUCAACACAUCUCUCUAUGGCAGACUGAGAAAUGAACUUUGUUGGGAAAAAAAAAAUAAAUUAAGUGAUGCUGCUGAUAGACAAGCACGCUGCACCCACAUUUUAAAAAUAAAUACAUUAAAUCUAAAAUCAAGGGGUUUGAGUUUACAUUCCUAACUAAUAAACUGAGGUGGGAGGGACUAACAAAAAGCUCCUGAAAACGUUGGAGAAACUGAAGAAACUGCCAAUAGUAUAAAAAACUCUGCCACUUGUAAUUGUGCAGGUGCAUCUGCAUUUCACAAUAGGCCUGAAAAAAAUAAAAAUAAAAAAAAAAAAA